rnacentral:rRNA from 1 species
AUUAACGCUGGCGGCGCACAUAAGACAUGCAAGUCGAACGGAAGUCGUUAUAACUCAGAACGAAGAUUUAUCUGAGGGACGAGAUAUAACAAUGGCUUUAGUGGCGGACUGGUGAGUAACACGUAAGAAACCUGCCUAUUAGAGGGGAAUAACAACGAGAAAUCGUUGCUAAUACCGCAUAAGCUAGUAGUACCGCAUGGUACAGCUAGAAAAGGAGAAAUCCGCUAAUAGAUGGUCUUGCGUCCGAUUAGCUAGUUGGUGGGGUAACGGCCUACCAAGGCAACGAUCGGUAGCCGAGCUGAGAGGCUCAACGGCCACAUUGGGACUGAGAUACGGCCCAGACUCCUACGGGAGGCAGCAGUCGGGAAUAUUGCGCAAUGGAGGAAACUCUGACGCAGUGACGCCGCGUAUAGGAAGAAGGUUUUCGGAUUGUAAACUAUUUUAGACAGGGAAGAAAAUGACAGUACCUGUAGAAUAAGCUCCGGCUAACUACGUGCCAGCAGCCGCGGUAAUACGUAGGGAGCAAGCGUUAUCCGGAUUUAUUGGGUGUAAAGGGUGCGUAGACGGGAGAACAAGUUAGUUGUGAAAGCCCUCGGCUUAACUGAGGAACUGCAACUAAAACUAUUUUUCUUGAGUGCAGGAGAGGAAAGCGGAAUUCCUAGUGUAGCGGUGAAAUGCGUAGAUAUUAGGAGGAACACCAGUGGCGAAGGCGGCUUUCUGGACUGUAACUGACGUUGAGGCACGAAAGUGUGGGGAGCAAACAGGAUUAGAUACCCUGGUAGUCCACACCGUAAACGAUGGAUACUAGGUGUAGGAGAUGAUUUCAUCAUCUGUGCCGAAAGCAAACGCAAUAAGUAUCCCACCUGGGGAGUACGGCCGCAAGGUUGAAACUCAAAGGAAUUGACGGGGGCCCGCACAAGCAGUGGAGUAUGUGGUUUAAUUCGAAGCAACGCGAAGAACCUUACCAGGUCUUGACAUCGUAUGCAUAAUGUAGAGAUACAUGAAGUCCUUCGGGACAUACAGACAGGUGGUGCAUGGUUGUCGUCAGCUCGUGUCGUGAGAUGUUGGGUUAAGUCCCGCAACGAGCGCAACCCCUGUGAUUAGUUACUAACAAGUUAAGUUGAGGACUCUAAUCAGACUGCCGGUGAUAAAUCGGAGGAAGGUGGGGACGACGUCAAAUCAUCAUGCCCUUUAUGUCCUGGGCAACACACGUACUACAAUGGUCGUAACAGAGAGAGGCAAAGCAGUGAUGCAGAGCAAAACUUAAAAAGCGACCUCAGUUCGGAUUGAAGGCUGAAAUUCGCCUUCAUGAAGUCGGAAUUGCUAGUAAUGGCAGGUCAGCAUACUGCCGUGAAUACGUUCCCGGGCCUUGUACACACCGCCCGUCACACCAUGAGAGUUGGAGAUACCCGAAGCCUAUGAGCUAACUAUUAGAGGCAGUAGUCGAAGGUAGAAUCAAUGAUUGGGGUG